UACAGGGGGCGCGAGCGUUGCUCGGAAUCACUGGGCGUAAAGCGUACGCAGGCGGGUCGGUAAGUCCGUUGUGAAAUCCCAGGGCUCAACCCUGGAACCGCGAUGGAGACUGCCGAUCUUGAGUACGGGAGAGGAGAGCGGAAUUCCUGGUGUAGAGGUGAAAUUCGUAGAUAUCAGGAGGAACACCGGUGGCGAAAGCGGCUCUCUGGCCCGAUACUGACGCUGAGGUGCGAAAGCGUGGGGAGCAAACAGG
rnacentral:rRNA from 1 species